UACGUAGGGGCCGAGCGUUGUCCGGAGUUAUUGGGCGUAAAGCGCGCGCAGGCGGCUUCGCGCGCCCGACGUGAAAGCCCCCGGCUUAACCGGGGAGAGUCGUUGGGGACGGCGGAGCUUGAGGGCGGGAGAGGUCGGUGGAAUUCCCGGUGUAGUGGUGAAAUGCGUAGAGAUCGGGAGGAACACCAGUGGCGAAAGCGGCCGGCUGGGCCUGUUCUGACGCUGAGGCGCGAAAGCGUGGGGAGCGAACCGG
rnacentral:rRNA from 1 species